rnacentral:tRNA from 1 species
AGGGCAUAGUAUAUAAGUAUAUCUUAAUUACAAUAAGAAGGUUUAAGCUCUA